AGUAAAACAGCUCAGUUGGUUAGAGCGUGGUGCUGACAACACCAAGGUUGCAGGUUUGAUCCUGUAUAUUUCUGCACUG